UGUAUUAAUUACAUUUAAAUUUAAUUUUUAAUUCAUUCAUCAUAAUAUAUUUUAAUGUCUACAUUUAGGCAACUAAUUUUUUUAUAAUAUAUAUUCCGAUAACAAUUUUGUAUGUUCUUUAUUUAGGUACAUUAAUACAUUUGAAUAUUUUGGUAUAUCCAUCGGUACAAACAUGUAGUUAAAUUGAUUCAGUAUAAUGCAUUUCGGUCAAUAUAAUGUAUUACGUUACGUACACUUUGGUACACACAUUUGAGUAUUGACUUUUAGGUACAUUAAUUGAAUUAUUAUAUUUCGGUAAAUACAUUUAGGUACAUACAUUUUGGUAUUGAUAUUUAGGUACAUACAUUUUUGGUAUUGACAUUUAGGUACAUACAUUUCGGUAUUGACAUUUAGGUACAUUAAUUCAAUAUAAUACAUUUCGGUACAUACAUUUAGGUUCAUUAUAAUAUAUUUCGGUACAAUCAUGUAGGUACAAAUAUUUCGGUACAAAAAACUCAAUUUUAAAUAUUUUGGCACAAUCAUUUCUGAACACUUAUGUAUUUAUAUAUUUUUGUAUCACAAAUUUUUUUAAAUAUUUUCUCAUUUACAUUCAUUUCUAAUUAAAAAAAAACUAAAUAUGUGUAUAUUAAUAAAAUUAAAAUUUAAUAUGGAGAGGUUAAAUAAAAAUACACAUUAAAUAACAAAAAUUGAAUGUAAAUUUUGAUAAAAGUACACUCAAGGGAUUAAAUUGAAUAUUUAAUCUAGCACCAGGUUUUUUUUUAAUUUUAAUCUUUUGCAAGGAUUAAUGUUCAAAAAUCCCAAUAAUUCCCAUUGCUGAAAAAUUAUAUGUAUAUAAUUAUUAGGAUGAUUUCCUUACCUUCACAGACACAAAAGAAAAAAGUGCAUGAAUUAUAUGACCAGUUUACACCUAAUUAAGACGAUCAUUUCCUUACCUUACCUUUCCACAGACACAAAAGAAAAAGUGCAUGAAUUAUAUGACAAGUUUGCACCUACCAUGAAUGCUGUUUGAACAUGGUACGUAGAAUAAUGAACCCAACAUAUUAUGUGAUGCAAAUUAAAUAGGAAAGUCAAUUUCGUUACUUACUAUGUUGCAAGUUCAAUUCUAAAAAAAAUUAACACCAAGUCCUAGUCAACUAAUAAUAUGUGAUAAUAAUCCCAUGCAAAUCUUGAGCCUCUCAUUCUCAGGGACCUAAAGCAGCUUGCACAUGGUAAAGUCUUCAUUAACUGACUUUUGUAGAUAUCAUGAUGCGAGGAUGUCAUCCAAGUAAGUUCGAUCGCCCGACAUUUUAUGUGCCAUGAAUAUGAUUAGACAAGUAGAACCAUGCCGUCUACAUAAUUUUUCAAAUUGCAAUCCACUACUUAAUUACGAUCAGGUCAGCAUUUGCAACGUACAAAUGCAUCCAUGGAAAAGUUGGAAAUUAAACAAAUUAAGUUUCACGUCGUUCACCAAAGAUUGUAUGAUUGAUUAAAUGAUUGCGUGGUGGAUGAGCAAUCUAAAAAAUAACCUAGUACAUUCCAACAUGGCAACAUAAAAGGCAUAAAAUAUUAAAUGAAAACAUUGGUACUGGUUAGCAUGCAUUUGACUAGGUGAUGUUUUAAUUUUCUCCGUGAAAUAAUUUGUCAAAUAUAUCUGUAUUAUUUGUUAUUCGACUAUUCGUUGAGGAGCUUUUUUUUGGUUCAUGGUGGAGAACAUCCAUUAUACGAAGUCUAAACGGGCGGAUUACAAAAUACAAAGCUCUAGAACCAGCAUAUAGAAAGAAGACGUUACUUAUGCAAACAAAACAUGAGUAAUAGUUCUUCACUGUUGCAAUUACAAAAUAGUACAUAAAGGAAAAAACAUAAAAGGGUUUCAACCCAAAAAGAAAAACCCUCUAUAGAGGCCCAAACAGUAGAGACCUAAACAUAGCUAGUAGAUAAAAUCCUAGAAGCCUAGGUGAGAGAUAACCCCUUGCAGCUGCCCGAAAGCUAGAAUCAGCCAACAACCCACAUUGCCAAAUCCGCACCACAAAAUAAUAGUUGUUCGCCUUAACAUCGUACCAUAUACAGACCUUCAAAAAGUCCUUGAUAAUCAACAAAACUAAACCACAAACAAACAACAUCAAAAUACCCA
rnacentral:lncRNA from 1 species